rfam:Rattus norvegicus chromosome 4, whole genome shotgun sequence.
GGGGAUUUAGCUCAGUGAUAGAGCGCUUGCCUAGCGAGCACAAGGCCCUGGGUUCGGUCCCCAGCUCCG